rnacentral:tRNA from 1 species
GGUCUUAUAGUGUAGUGGUUAUCACACUGGUUUCUGAUGCUGGUGACCUGGGUUCGAUUCCCAGUAAGACCU